AACGCUAGCUACAGGCUUAACACAUGCAAGUCGAGGGGAAACGAUAUUGGAAGCUUGCUUCCGAUAGGCGUCGACCGGCGCACGGGUGAGUAACGCGUAUCCAACCUGCCCACCACUUGGGGAUAACCUUGCGAAAGUAAGACUAAUACCCAAUGAUAUCUCUAGAAGACAUCUGAAAGAGAUUAAAGAUUUAUCGGUGAUGGAUGGGGAUGCGUCUGAUUAGCUUGUUGGCGGGGUAACGGCCCACCAAGGCGACGAUCAGUAGGGGUUCUGAGAGGAAGGUCCCCCACAUUGGAGCUGAGACACGGUCCAAACUCCUACGGGAGGCAGCAGUGAGGAAUAUUGGUCAAUGGGCGAGAGCCUGAACCAGCCAAGUAGCGUGCAGGAUGACGGCCCUAUGGGUUGUAAACUGCUUUUAUAAGGGAAUAAAGUGAGUCUCGUGAGACUUUUUGCAUGUACCUUAUGAAUAAGGACCGGCUAAUUCCGUGCCAGCAGCCGCGGUAAUACGGAAGGUCCGGGCGUUAUCCGGAUUUAUUGGGUUUAAAGGGAGCGUAGGCCGGAGAUUAAGCGUGUUGUGAAAUGUAGAUGCUCAACAUCUGCACUGCAGCGCGAACUGGUUUCCUUGAGUACGCACAAAGUGGGCGGAAUUCGUGGUGUAGCGGUAAAAUGCUUAGAUAUCACGAAGAACUCCGAUUG
rnacentral:rRNA from 1 species